rnacentral:rRNA from 1 species
AUAGCGUAUAUUAAAGUUGUUGCAGUUAAAAAGCUCGUAGUUGAAAUUGGGCGCGGCUGGCCGGUCCGCCUCACGGUGUGAACCGACCUAUCCGACCCUUCUGUCGGCGAUGCGUGCCGGGCCUUAAUUGGCCGGGCCGUGCCUCCGGCGCCGUUACUUUGAAGAAAUUAGAGUGCUCAAAGCAAGCCCACGCUCUGCAUACAUUAGCAUGGGAUAACAUCACAGGAUUUCGGUCCUAUUGUGUUGGCCUUCGGGAUCGGAGUAAUGAUUAAGAGGGACAGUCGGGGGCAUUCGUAUUUCAUAGUCAGAGGUGAAAUUCUUGGAUUUAUGAAAGACUAACUACUG